rnacentral:lncRNA from 1 species
AAACAGCCUCUGUCUCAGGUUGGGAGUUGCUGCCAUGGAGACCACAAGAGUGGAGAUUUUCUGACACACAGAAAGGAAUGGAUUACAGCUCCUUCUUAUGUAAAUUUCCAUGGAGGGGAAAAAAGAUUAAAAGGAAAAUAAUUCUGCUUUAGUCGUUUUCCUUUAAGGUGAUAAGAUCCUUUGAUUCCAUCGUGGAGAAGAAGGCAACAGCUGUUUGUCACAAAUGAUGGGAAAUGUGCCAACGUCACAACAAGGUUUGAGGGAGGCACAUCUCAUGCUCGGACAUGAACACCCGAUCAUCAUGCUUAUGAACUACAAAAGGAUCUCCAGUAUGGGCUCACGGCAGUUGGCCCUUGAAUAACAUGAAUUUGAACUGCCUGAGUCUGCUAAUAUGUGGAUUAUCUUCUGCUUCUGCACCCUGAGACAGCAAGACCAACCCUUCCUCUUGCUUCUUUUCCUUAGCCUAUUCAACGUGAAGAUGACUAAGGUUUCCCAGGAUGUACAGAGAAGUCCAGCCUCACCGUAGCACCUGAGCAGUGGGUGGGAAAUAGCUGAGGGACACAUCUCAAUCGAUGAACCAGCACUCCUGAUUCUCUGCAGCCUGCAAACUUCGGGCAUGAAAAAACCCUGAAAAACUGAGCGUUUGCUUCUCAGCGACUCAGCUUGAAAGAGGCUGUUUUAAACUGGAAGAGGUUGAGAGGCCUUCAGUUGGUGAGUUUAUUAUUUUCCCUUGCUCCUCUGUGAAAUGAAGCUCAUGAAGAAGCGUAGGUCAGGUACAGAAUAUAAAAGAAUGACCUUUUCUUUUUCCUGGACAAUUUAAGUGCACUGUCAUCUCACAACCUCAAACUCUUUAAUAUGGUAAUGAGAGGCAAAAGGCAUUUUAAUUUGGAGCUAUGUCGCAGUUUUCCAGCAUGUGAAGAAAGCAUCCUCAGUUGCCAAAAGGUCACGUGUGGGAUUAGUUGCUAGGCUGUGGGAUUAUUUUUCUAGGCUUGCUGGGGAAAAGGGCAAAAGAGAAGAAGCAAACUAGCAGAGUCAUGUGGCGUUUCUGUCCUGGGACUUACGCAAAUUAUGCAAUUGUCCUUUGCAUUCAAAUCUGUUCCUCUUCCACCUGAUAUUUUGCUGAGGGGACAAGUGAAAUUCCAAAGCUCAGUUUGCUGAAGUGUGCAAAAUGCUAAUCAGCUUCCACAGCCCACAAAGUGGCAGAGAGGGCGUGCCUCUCUGGAGAAGAGAGGAGAGACUGGACUAGGAGCUGGGAGGAGUCUGGCUGACUCAGCGGCCCCAGACAAACGCACUUCCAUCCUUUCCCAUUUCCGUUGUGAACUCUUCUCCGUGGGCAAGAAGAGGACUCAGAACAACUGCUAUCUUUUUACAAAGAAGGAUGAUGUGCAAGGGGGUCAUUUACAAGAGGAUCAAGGGUUUGGCUAUGUUGGGAGAUGCUGAUUUUGAUAAAUGUUUCCAUAUCUCUACAAAUGUGCCUUUCUGAGUCUCCAGUUAGACUUGAAAAAGACUUUGGAGAUUGUCCCCUGCACAGUGGCUCUGAGCCUGGACACCUAGGAGAUGCUCAGUAAAUAUCUGUUAAAUAAAUGAAGGAAUGGAUAUAGUCCAAACUACUUGGUCAUGCAUCCAGUUUGUGGCAGAUUUGGGUCUCUAAGGCCCAGUACACUAAUCACUCAGCUGGGAGUUUUUAUUCUGUUCCAUCUUGCUGCUAGGACAACUGUAGCCACCCAGAAGGAUGUCUCAACGCUCUGGAAAGUUCUCUGGCUGAAUGUUGCUAUGAUACAAUCUUUUAACAAGCUGAUUGCUCAGUAGCAAGAGCAAGUGCUAUUUAUGUUGGGUAAAUAAGAAGAAAUGCUGCCCUACUGAUAUUUGUUAAGUGCCCCUUUAAUAUUUGUGAGGAGGCGAUCUUGACAAAAUUUUGAGAGUGUAUACACUGGCAAAUUUUACCUUUUAUGGACUGUAAUAUCCUAUUGCUACUUGAUUUAAAAAUCUUUCCCUCUCUUCACAUAUAUCCAUAUGAAAAAAAACAGCAGAGAGAGAUAUAUGUAUAUUAUAUGGGAGAUAUCUAUCUAUCAUCUAUCUAUCUCCCACUUAUGACCUGAAAGCCCCGUCUUUGAGAUGUUCUGCCUUUCCAGCCUAAAUCAAUGUAUACCUUACAUGUAUUGAUUUAUGUCUUUGCCUGUAACUUCUGUUUUCCUAAAAUGUAUAAAACUAAACUGUAAUUCAGUCACCUUGGGUACACUUUCUCAAGCUUUCUUGAGACUGUUUCCCAGGCCAUGGUCAGAAUAAAC